GCUGAUUUUAACACACUAGUAUGUCUCUGUGUGUCAUCUUUCAUUCUUUCUCACUGUAACUAUAAUACCUCUCUCUCUCUCUCUCUCU